rnacentral:rRNA from 1 species
UACGAAGGGGAGCUAGCGUUGUUCGGAUUUACUGGGCGUAAAGGGCGCGUAGGCGGCAAUUUAAGUCAUCUGUGAAAAUCUCCGGGCUUAACUCGGAAUGGUCAGGUGAUACUGCUUUGCUAGAGUGCAGAAGGGGCAAUCGGAAUUCUUGGUGUAGCGGUGAAAUGCGUAGAUAUCAAGAGGAACACCUGAGGUGAAGACGGGUUGCUGGGCUGACACUGACGCUGAGGCGCGGAAAGCGUGGGGAGCGAACGGG